AUACGGAAGGUGCGAGCGUUGUUCGGAAUUAUUGGGCGUAAAGAGCAUGUAGGCGGUCUGUUAAGUCUGGUGUGAAAGCCCGGGGCUCAACCCCGGAAGUGCAUUGGAUACUGGCAGACUUGAGUAUGGGAGAGGAAAGCGGAAUUCCGAGUGUAGGAGUGAAAUCCGUAGAUAUUCGGAGGAACACCAGUGGCGAAGGCGGCUUUCUGGACCAAUACUGACGCUGAGAUGCGAAAGCGUGGGGAGCGAACAGGAUUAGAUACCCCUGUAGUCC
rnacentral:rRNA from 1 species